CGAUCAUCUUUUCAAAGUGAUGGAAUUUGACAUUAUAAUGAUGUAAGAAAAUCUGUGAUGAUCAUCUGAUUUUGCUGUUAUAAGUGUAAAACCAUGACAGAAUGACAUGGACAAUU